UACGUAGGGUGCGAGCGUUUGUCCGGAUUUAUUGGGCGUAAAGAGCGUGUAGGCGGCUAGGUAGGUCCGUUGUGAAAACUCGAGGCUCAACCUCGAGACGUCGAUGGAAACCAUCUAGCUAGAGUCCGGAAGAGGCGAGUGGAAUUCCUGGUGUAGCGGUGGAAUGCGCAGAUAUCGGGAGGAACACCAGUAGCGAAGGCGGCGACCUGGACAGAUAUUGACGCUGAGGUGCGAAAGCGUGGGGAGCAAACAGG
rnacentral:rRNA from 1 species